CACGUAGGGGGCGAGCGUUGUCCGGAAUCAUUGGGCGUAAAGAGCUCGUAGGCGGCUCAGUAAGUCGGGUGUGAAACCCCCAGGCUCAACCUGGGGACGCCACCCGAUACUGCUGUGGCUAGAGUCCAGUAGGGGAGUGUGGAAUUCCCGGUGUAGCGGUGAAAUGCGCAGAUAUCAGGAGGAACACCGGUGGCGAAGGCGGGUCUCUGGGCAACUACUGACGCUGAGGAGCGAAAGCGUGGGGAGCGAACAGG
rnacentral:rRNA from 1 species